CGGCGGACGGGUGAGUAACGCGUGGGUAACCUGCCUCAUACAGGGGGAUAACAGUUAGAAAUGACUGCUAAUACCGCAUAAGACCACAGGAUCGCAUGAUCCGGUGGUAAAAACUCCGGUGGUAUGAGAUGGACCCGCGUCUGAUUAGGUAGUUGGUGGGGUAACGGCCUACCAAGCCGACGAUCAGUAGCCGACCUGAGAGGGUGACCGGCCACAUUGGGACUGAGACACGGCCCAG
rnacentral:rRNA from 1 species